GGCUGGUCUGAAAAUAGUGAGUUAUGUCAAUUGAUUGUUCACAGUCAGUCACAGAUCAAAUUCCUUGUUCCCCCUUCUUACUAAUAUACUUGACUACUCUGAA
ensembl:Y_RNA Y_RNA Y RNA